rnacentral:lncRNA from 1 species
AGAAACUUAUUAGUGAUGGCUUUUAAUGUGUGUUUUUUCCUGAUUUGCCAAACACAGUCAAGUUUCUGUUUGACAAUAAGUUGCACCUUGAAUUUUGAGCUGUAAUGUGGGAUAUGUGCGCAUUGCAUUUGUGCCAAUUUUUUUUUUUACAAAAUCCAAUCUUUAAUUUGCGUCAAAAAAUAUAAUCUACAUACUAUAUUGGUGUAUUUGCAUUGAUUUGUAUGUUUUAUUAUCUAAU